rnacentral:snoRNA from 2 species
UUCAUGACCCUGAGAUCAAGUCACAUGCUCCACCAACUGA